AUUGAACGCUGGCGGCAUGCCUUACACAUGCAAGUCGAACGGCAGCGGGGGAGAAGCUUGCUUUUCCUGCCGGCGAGUGGCGAACGGGUGAGUAAUACAUCGGAACGUGCCCUGUAGUGGGGGAUAACUAGUCGAAAGAUUAGCUAAUACCGCAUACGACCUGAGGGUGCAAGUGGGGGACCGCAAGGCCUCAUGCUAUAGGAGCGGCCGAUGUCUGAUUAGCUAGUUGGUGGGGUAAAGGCCUACCAAGGCGACGAUCAGUAGCUGGUCUGGGAGGCCGAUCAGCCACACUGGGACUGAGACACGGCCCAGACUCCUGCGGGAGGCAGCAGUGGGGAAUUUUGGACAAUGGGCGAAAGCCUGAUCCAGCAAUGCCGCGUGUGUGAAGAAGGCCUUCGGGUUGUAAAGCACUUUUGUCCGGAAAGAAAUGGCUCUGGUUAAUACCUGGGGUCGAUGACGGUACCGGAAGAAUAAGGACCGGCUAACUACGUGCCAGCAGCCGCGGUAA
rnacentral:rRNA from 1 species